CCACACUGAGUACUUGGUCGCUACUACUGUCUUUAACCACACAGUCAACAGCACUGUUAGUCUCCCUUCAAAAAACCAUGGCAACAGCACUGUUGAAUGUGUCAGUAACAAUGGACAAGGUGAAAAAAGAGAAAAUCUACUCAUCCGUAAAACCUUCCCUGAAAAACAUGUAACCAGCACAGAAGUUGUAGAGCAUAAAGAGAUGUCAGGCAAUCUGAGUGUAAAACUUCUCGUAUCCAUUGCUGCUGUAUCGAUCCUUGUCAAUAUCAUCUUUAUAAUCUACUUUGUGCUCUUUUGGAACUCAAGAAAAAAGAUGAAACCAAAGGAGGAAGAGCAAACAUACAUGUCCCUGCAGAAAACAGACGGAUUAUCAGAAUAUGAUGUUAUUUGCCAGUCUCUGAAUUAGUAAAUGUCACAGAGUGAAGAUACUUACAUAAAGUAUAAAAGGCUCCUACUGGAAAUCAAACUGGACUGGACUCCAAAUACCAACCUUAUCUACAGGAACAGACAUUCCAUGCUUUACUUCCUGAAAAGGCUGACAACAUCAACGAUGCUACAGAUGUUUUAUAUCCAGUGGUUGCUAGCAUGCUUGCCCAUGCUGUGGUCUGCUGGGGGAGCAGUGUCAACAAGAGGAAAAUAAGCUGCCUGAUUACAAUGAUUUUGUCACAGUUAACAGCAGCAAACUAUUGAUGUAAUUUUGGCUGCUGUUUCUAAUCGUACCCCCCGCC
ensembl:lncRNA